AGUGAACGCUGGCGGUAGGCCUAACACAUGCAAGUCGAACGGCAGCACAGGAGAGCUUGCUCUCUGGGUGGCGAGUGGCGGACGGGUGAGGAAUACAUCGGAAUCUGCCCAGUCGUGGGGGAUAACGUAGGGAAACUUACGCUAAUACCGCAUACGACCUUCGGGUGAAAGAGGGGGAUCGCAAGACCUCUCGCGAUUGGAUGAGCCGAUGUCGGAUUAGCUAGUUGGCGGGGUAAUGGCCCACCAAGGCGACGAUCCGUAGCUGGUCUGAGAGGAUGAUCAGCCACACUGGAACUGAGACACGGUCCAGACUCCUACGGGAGGCAGCAGUGGGGAAUAUUGGACAGUGGGCGCAAGCCUGAUCCAGCCAUACCGCGUGGGUGAAGAAGGCCUUCGGGUUGUAAAGCCCUUUUGUUGGGAAAGAAAUCGUUCAGGCUAAUACCCUGGGAGGAUGACGGUACCCAAAGAAUAAGCACCGGCUAACUUCGUG
rnacentral:rRNA from 1 species